rnacentral:lncRNA from 1 species
ACACAAAGUUACAAGAUAUGUCUUACAACAAUAUAUUUGAUACACAGAUAACUUGUUCAUCAUUAAGAUGUGAUAUUUAACAACAGUUAACAUGAUUUAACAAUGUUCCUGACACAAAGUUAUAAGAUAUAUCUUACAACAAUAUAUUUGAUACACAGAUAACUUGUUCAUCAUUAAGACAUGAUAUUUAACAACAGUUAACAUGAUUUAACAAUGUUCUUGUUACAAGAUAUCUCUUACAACAAUAUAUUUGAUACACAGAUAACUUGUUUAUCAUUAAGAUGUGAUAUUUAACAACAGUUAACAUGAUUUUAACAAUGUUAAGUUAACGUAUCAAGAGUUUAACUUGGGCAAGUUAGCAUGAAGUACAAUUUAUUUUGUUUUUGGUACUUUUUUCUCUUGAUAACAUGAAAUAUAUGUUGUUGUUUAAAUUAUAGUUUAUUUUAAUACUGAUUGUUGCUUCUAGUUGAUUUUUCCAGUUCUCAUAUUUAAUUUCGUAAUGAAUCGUAGAGUCACGGCAACAACUGUAAACAUCUUUAAUGAAGAUUAUUUAUUUGGCCUAUUCCAAAUCUCAUAACUCCAAAAGUAAACAUUUGUAAGGCAUGAGAUUUGAUACAGUUACUAAUUCAGUGAUGGAUAAAAUGCCAUGGGUGGAAUUGAUGGUCGCUUGAAGAUAUAUAUGUCUACUUACAGGCAAAUAGAGAAUAUAAUAUAAGAGCAAUGGAAAUAAAUGUUUCUGGUUCACUAUUUUGUUCUUUUUUCUGAGAUGGCCUCUAGAGAGAAUCUAUCAGCAUGUGAAUCAUUAUUACACCACUGAUAUUGUAUUGACGUGAAGCUUGUGCCUGCAAGAGGGCCACGCAGCUCACCAGAAAUUGACUACAAAUUUGCACAAAUGAAAUUGUUGUGGUUUCCAAUCCAACAUCAGUUGUUAUGGAAAUUAGGAAGACAGUGCCCAAUGUUGUGGAAACAACUGCAUGUGAAUAGUGAAGCUAGGACAUUGCUAAACAACAAUUCUAGAAGGUGUUGAAUAUCUUAUAUCCAUACAGAGCCUGUGCAAUGGAACCAGAAAAUGAAAAUCAAUGACCAUUUUGCUCUCAAAUUCCUGACUUGGUGACAUAUGGCUUCAACAAAGUUCAUGAACUAAUGCUCUUCUUGGCCAGGCCUACACCUGAAGUCAUGUUAUCUGGGGGAGAAGCAAACCCACCUGCUAUAGUGCAACAGCCCCCAGCAUGAGGAGAACAGUUGUUUGGAGUUACUACCACAUUCAUCAAUCAUAUUGAGUUUUAGACAAUUAUUUCUGAAUUUGAGGAAAAGAUGUUUUGAUUGUGACUAUUUUCCAGCAAGUUACUGCUCCUCCCCAUAUUGAACGACCUGUCAUGGCAUUGUGUUUGGUUUGGAGAUCCUUUCACAGGGUCAACUUGUUCUACUCAUCUUGAUUUUACCAACGUGAUGGCCCUGAUAUAGCAUCCGUUGGUUCCCUGUAUCAAGAUUAGAAGCAUCAUGGACAACAAUGGUGGUCAUGUCAAAAGUUGCAUGUAAUCAUCCAUCUAUGCGUUUAACUGCACCUCCUAGUGACCAAUGUUUAUCCAAUCACUUUCAUAGAUUGCUGACUACACUGUAUCUUUAUUUGUAACUAAAAGUUUUGGUUACAAGAAAUUUCUUAAUGUACAUUAAUAGUUUCUUCUAACAACUUUUUUUAAAUGAACUUUGAUUUUGGAACCUUCAUACUCCACAAGACAACAGAAACAAUGCAAGAGUUCGAACGGGUUGUUUCUUUAGUAAUCACAAAUCCAGUUCAGGUCUCAAUGCAUUGUCUAACAGUUAACUAAAAUCAUAAGAUUACAGUAGACAUUUGAUAAAGUUUUGGGUAAUACUGAUAUAAAUUCCAGUUCAGGUCUCAAUGCAUUGUCUAACAGUUAACUAAAAUCAUAAGAUUACAGUAGACAUUUGAUAAAGUUUUGGGUAAUACUGAUAUAAAUUGAACAUUAAAAUGGAGGAGCUAUUUUAAUCUUUUGGCUCGACCAAGCAUGUAGAACAAACUUAGUGUUCUUUCAUUGGGUAUGUUCUCUUAAAUUAUCUGGUGAAAAUCAGGCCAAGUACAGUCCCUCAAACAAUCAUCUCUUCCUUAACGUUUCUACAAGCUGCUUACACUUAUAUACUGUCAUAGCUUUUAGGUCCAAGUUUAAACUGAAAUACCUCAUUAAUGAUACUAUGACUAACGUAAAAAUAAACUUAUUUGUACAAUUUUGAGACUGUAGAUCAAGUAAAUGAAUAUACACUAAAUGUAACUGAUGAAAAUACUUCACUGAAUGACUAAUUCACUACUAACUGAAAGCAAAAAGACAAUAAUUCUCACACUUAUAAUCUACUGUCAUUUCUUAAAACUUUCUAGGCCUACAUUAACAUCAUUUGCCCUCUAGCUAACAUCUAACUUGAAAUGUUAAAAAUAUAGCUUAUAACAAUUAAAAUCAAUCACCACAACUGAACAAUGAUCAGGAUUAAAUAUACUACGUUAAAACAUACUUGAUUGAUGGAAUGAGAUAAGAUUCAUUAACUGAUUAGAGAAUAAACAGAAUGAAAAUUUUUUUUGUCUAAUAUUUUUUUUUAACCAAUAUCUAUUCAUAUUAUUCUGUACUUCUCAAGUAUAUUUUUUAAAAGGUAACCUAGCAUGGCACAUAAAUUGAAACAUUCUGGAAAGUAAAUUUUUUAACCGUUUCCUUUACAAAAUUUAGUGUUUCGCGAGACUUUUCACAAUAUGUUCUAGUAUUUUGCUUGAUGACUUAUUUACUAAUUUAGAUGGCAACAUGCACAAAGAUAUGUUGAUUUGUGGAAACAAAAGUUAAAAUAUAAUGUUUUGUAAAUUACACUGCAAUUUUGUGAUCAAUCUGGUAUCGAUUUGAUUCAAAAUAAACAGACUUUCGUCCAUCUUAUUCGCCUUUUUUGGAGUGCUGUAAGUUUGUAAAUAGUUAAAUAUGAAAACAAAAGUUUUUUUCUAUGUGUAUGCAUACACCUGUAGGGUGUAUGUUUUUAAACACUGAAUAUAGUGAUUAUUCGGGGUAGUUAUUGUUAGUUAGGCCCAUUAUAAGGUUAUUACUACAUAUUGUAUGCAUAGGUAACAUUAUUAGGCCUAUCGAUUAUGGGUACAUACUAUGCUACGAGUUUCUACACGAUGCACCAGCUGUACUUCCCUCAAUUAUAGUCCUGUACCAAUCAUUUGUAUAAAUAAAAAGUGUAUAUGUGAUAGUAA